rnacentral:rRNA from 1 species
UGGGGUAAAGGCCUACCAAGGCGACGAUCCGUAACUGGUCUGAGAGGAUGAUCAGUCACACUGGAACUGAGACACGGUCCAGACUCCUACGGGAGGCAGCAGUGGGGAAUAUUGGACAAUGGGCGAAAGCCUGAUCCAGCCAUGCCGCGUGUGUGAAGAAGGUCUUCGGAUUGUAAAGCACUUUAAGUUGGGAGGAAGGGCAGUAAGUUAAUACCUUGCUGUUUUGACGUUACCAACAGAAUAAGCACCGGCUAACUUCGUGCCAGCAGCCGCGGUAAUACGAAGGGUGCAAGCGUUAAUCGGAAUUACUGGGCGUAAAGCGCGCGUAGGUGGUUCAGCAAGUUGGAUGUGAAAUCCCCGGGCUCAACCUGGGAACUGCAUCCAAAACUACUGAGCUAGAGUACGGUAGAGGGUGGUGGAAUUUCCUGUGUAGCGGUGAAAUGCGUAGAUAUA